rnacentral:rRNA from 1 species
AUGCAAGUCGAGCGGAAACGAGUUAUCUGAACCUUCGGGGAACGAUAACGGCGUCGAGCGGCGGACGGGUGAGUAAUGCCUAGGAAAUUGCCCUGAUGUGGGGGAUAACCAUUGGAAACGAUGGCUAAUACCGCAUAACACCUUCGGGUCAAAGAGGGGGACCUUCGGGCCUCUCGCGUCAGGAUAUGCCUAGGUGGGAUUAGCUAGUUGGUGAGGUAAUGGCUCACCAAGGCGACGAUCCCUAGCUGGUCUGAGAGGAUGAUCAGCCACACUGGAACUGAGACACGGUCCAGACUCCUACGGGAGGCAGCAGUGGGGAAUAUUGCACAAUGGGCGCAAGCCUGAUGCAGCCAUGCCGCGUGUGUGAAGAAGGCCUUCGGGUUGUAAAGCACUUUCAGUCGUGAGGAAGGUAGUGUAGUUAACAGCCGCAUUAUUUGACGUUAGCGACAGAAGAAGCACCGGCUAACUCCGUGCCAGCAGCCGCGGUAAUACGGAGGGUGCGAGCGUUAAUCGGAAUUACUGGGCGUAAAGCGCAUGCAGGUGGUUUGU